rnacentral:lncRNA from 1 species
UUUCUCUUUAGACCUUGCUCGUUUAGAAUGGGAUUGCGUGGGAUUGGACCUCUGUCCCCGUGCGAUAUCCCGACCUGAAACAACCUCAUAUGCUCAUAUGGAUUGAGUGGCAAAGCAGGGAUUCACUCAGUCCCUUCUUAGCUAGGUUCCCCUUGGGGAUUAAACCCCUAGAAACCGAACAAGGCCUAGGGAUUCAGCGCUAGCCUCCUUCCACCUGUAUCAGCCGAAACUGUUUACUUGUGUUGGGUUGAUCUAGAUAGCUGUCCAUGGGAUGUUGCCGAUACCAUCCAUUCCUACGUUAACAUGCUCUCUCAACGACCUGAUUUGCCAUGAAAUGGUGUAAACACUGCAGCAUUUUGUCACGUCCAUCUUCCUCUUUUCAUUUUGUUUUU